CCGGCACGGGUGAGUAACGCGUAUGCAACUUGCCUAUCAGAGGGGGAUAUCCCGGCGAAAGUCGGACUAAUACCGCAUGAAGCAGGGGCCCCGCAUGGGGAUAUUUGCUAAAGAUUCAUCGCUGAUAGAUAGGCAUGCGUUCCAUUAGGCAGUUGGCGGGGUAACGGCCCACCAAACCGACGAUGGAUAGGGGUUCUGAGAGGAAGGUCCCCCACAUUGGUACUGAGACACGGACCAA
rnacentral:rRNA from 1 species